rnacentral:rRNA from 1 species
UACGGAGGGUGCAAGCGUUAUCCGGAUUCACUGGGUUUAAAGGGUGCGUAGGAGGGCAGGUAAGUCAGUGGUGAAAUCUCCGAGCUUAACUUGGAAACUGCCGUUGAUACUAUCUGCCUUGAAUAUUGUGGAGGUGAGCGGAAUAUGUCAUGUAGCGGUGAAAAUGCUUAGAUAUGACAUAGAACACCAAUUGCGAAGGCAGCUCGCUACACAUAUAUUGACUCUGAGGCACGAAAGCGUGGGGAUCAAACAGG